rnacentral:rRNA from 1 species
GACGAACGCUGGCGGCGUGCCUAAUACAUGCAAGUUGAGCGAUGAAGAUUGGUGCUUGCACCAAUUUGAAGAGCAGCGAACGGGUGAGUAACGCGUGGGGAAUCUGCCUUUGAGCGGGGGACAACAUUUGGAAACGAAUGCUAAUACCGCAUAACAACUUUAAACAUAAGUUUUAAGUUUGAAAGAUGCAAUUGCAUCACUCAAAGAUGAUCCCGCGUUGUAUUAGCUAGUUGGUGAGGUAAAGGCUCACCAAGGCGAUGAUACAUAGCCGACCUGAGAGGGUGAUCGGCCACAUUGGGACUGAGACACGGCCCAAACUCCUACGGGAGGCAGCAGUAGGGAAUCUUCGGCAAUGGACGAAAGUCUGACCGAGCAACGCCGCGUGAGUGAAGAAGGUUUUCGGAUCGUAAUACUCUGUUGGUAGAGAAGAACGUUGGUGAGAGUGGAAAGCUCAUCAAGUGACGGUAACUACCCAGAAAGGGACGGCUAACUACGUG